rnacentral:rRNA from 1 species
UACGGAGGGUGCGAGCGUUGUCCGGAAUCAUUGGGCGUAAAGGGCGCGUAGGCGGCUUGACAAGUCACUUGUGAAAUCUCCGGGCUUAACUCGGAACGGCCAAGUGAAACUGUCAUGCUAGAGUGCAGAAGGGGCAAUCGGAAUUCUUGGUGUAGCGGUGAAAUGCGUAGAUAUCAAGAGGAACACCUGAGGUGAAGACGGGUUGCUGGGCUGACACUGACGCUGAGGCGCGAAAGCCAGGGGAGCAAACGGG